GUAGGUGAACCUGCGGAAGGAUCAUUUCCAAAUCCAAAAAUCUUAUAUCAACCCUGUGUGCACUUAUUGAAACCGUACUUUGGGAGAUGGAGUUUUAAAUAACUCAUCUCCCAUCUUGUUGUUUUUUUUUCUUAAAAACAAAAAGAACAAUAGGAACCAAGUUUUUUUUAACCCCUUCUGUAUUUUGUCUUUGAAUUUAAAAAAGUUAAAAAAUAUUCACACAACUUUUAACGGUGGAUCUCUUGGCUCGU
rnacentral:misc_RNA from 1 species